AAAAAUAUGAAAGAUUACAGUGGAAAUGGAUUGUGCUACACACAUGUAGUGAUGUCUACUGUGGCUUAAUCACUUAAUUAAUCCAUACCUAACUAUAUAUAGCUAUCAAGUCAUAACAAAUGAUAAAUCCAAUUUUUACUUUGAAUAACUAUGAAUCCUAAUCAUAAUCAAAUAAAAGAUUUAAACUUAUCUCUAAUUAUAUUUUAAUUAAGUUUGGAUUAUUAUUCUAACAU
rnacentral:lncRNA from 1 species